AUGACAGUGGUUGGUCAGCAGCCUCUUACUGUCACGGGUCCGGGAAGCACCUUAAAUGUAAACCGCGUCAAUCCUAGGGUCACACAGCGAUUCUCACCGUCAUGCACCCACCACUCGGACGCAUAUUUCGAGAUCAAACAAGGCAGGACGGGAGCCCAGCUGGAAGGUGCCUUCUCCCCACCCGCGCAGGUCUGCACAGGGCCCCCAGAGGGGCACCCAGGCCCCAGGCCCCCUGAGCUUGGGGACCCCAGCCCCAGGCAGAGCCCAGAGAUGUCACGAGGGGCACGUGAGCCACCGGAGGGACUCCCGGUCGGCACCAGAGCCCGUGCCCACGCUCUCUCCAGCCCCAUGGGGCUGUGCCGCCCCCCAGGUGGGUGGACCCCGCGGCAGAGCACGCAGGUGGGGGGCAGGGGGUCUGGCGGAGGGUGCAGACCCGGAGUGCGGAGCCAGCGUGGAUGGGAGACCAGGCGCCGCAGGACCCCGCUCCGAAGUCAGGGUGGGCCCCUGCCCUUGGGGUUGCGGGGAGGGCGAGGGGCCAUUCUCUGGUGGAAGGACGGCCACGGCCCCCAGCUCCCGCGAUCAGGGCGGGGCUGCGCCGGGGCGGGGGGCUCGGCUUCUCCCUCCUCCCAGAGAGGAAGGAGGACUCCAGGCCUUUUCGCACAUCUUGUGUGUGGUUUCUCUGCUGUCAACAAUCAACAGGGUGACAGAAGGCGGAGCUGGCCCCGCGCAGCCCUGAAGGCGGUGUCCUGGGAGGAGCCGCUCCCCCCGCCCCUCCCGUCCCCGCCCCUCCCGUCCCCGCCCCUCCCGUCCCCCCGCCCCUCCCGUCCCCCACCAGUCCCCGCCCCCUCCCCCUCCCGUCCCCCAGGGUGCGGGGAGGACCCUCGCCCCCAGGACGGCGAGCCCCGCCCACACCUGCCGCGCGACCCGCUCCCCGGAAAGCCCGGCGCCUGCGCGGGGAGGACUCGCACCCCGCUCCGGGGCCCAGCUCCCGCCUGCGUCCCCAGCCGCGGGCCCCCAGCUCGGCCUCCCGGGGACUCUUCUCCUGGAGGCGGGGCCCCCCGGGGCGCGGCUGGCUCUGGGCGCCCACAGGCCGGGACGGCGGGAGCGGCAGGAGCACCGUCCACUGCGCCCGCGGCGGGCAGGCGCUCGCAGAAUCCAGCGCUCCCGGAAUCAAGUGGGCAUCGACGCGGAUCCUGA
rnacentral:lncRNA from 1 species